GCAGACUUCUGGUUAUUAGAUGAGGGGGAGUGAAUGGGGGGCAGAUUAAAACAGAAAAAAAAAAUAGCCCUGGAAACCUAGCAUUGCUGGAUCAAUGGGGAGAAGCAAUAAUGAGGACUUGGCUGCAGCCUCCCCAGUUGGUGUGGCAGGGCUGGCUCCUGACCUGGAUCAGGGGGUGUGGGUGGUGGUUGCCCUGCUGGUUGUGUCAUUUAACACGUGGGACCUGCCUGGAGAAACUUUCUAAGAUCUGCCUGACUGUCACUCUAAUGACCCAGUGAUUAUCUGCCCCACUGCUGGGGGGAGGACACCUCCAACUGCCCCUCUGGCUGGGCACCCAGGAUAAGUACCCUGAUUUAAAGGGGCAUUCUCCAGCCACCAGGCAGAAGGUAAUGUUACAUUGUAUCAGGGAGAUUGGUGAUACUUUGCACUGAUCUUAUUAGUAAUGAGUGUGAAAUUGAUGGGGAAAAAAGCCAUUAUUUCAGUAAAAUAAUUUUUCUUCUUUUUUUUAGUAGGUAAAUACAUGUCUUGUUACUGGAGUGAGGGGUAAGAGGUUUUAGAAGGUGCACUAAUUAGGGGUAGCAGGGAUUGGUGCGGAGGUACAUUUGGGGUGCUCACAAACUAUCACGUCCAUUAAUAUCAAACGGAAUAAAAUGAAGCUUAACUUUUUUUUUCUUUUUUUUUAAGAUGCAAAAACUGGGGUCAUUUUAACUCUUUAUCUGGUUAGUUUAACUGUUUCAGGAAAAUACUUUUCAUGUUUGCAUGGAUAAUUUUAUCUAUAUAAUAUUUUCUCUAUAAAUGUAUGUAAACCAUACUUUGACAGAAUACAUGUCGGUACUCCCCUCGCCUGUAUAUUGUGAUUUUAUAAGUAAUCUUGGACUCUGCUAGUCCCAUAAAAAAAAAAAAAACCUCUUCUAUGCAUACUGCACUCUUCACCGAUCUGUGAAUUGCGUUAAUGGAAAAUGUAUAUUUUUGCUAAAUCUUACUUGCUCUUUUUCCAUCCCGUCCCCCACUUGGCUUCAGUUCAGACUUGAAUGUUUCGGUUUAAGUUUUGCAAAUUCACUGUUAAAGUCGGUGUUUAGCGAAUAAUCCCUGGCCUGUAUAUAUUACACCCCAUUCACGCAAUAGGACUUCAUACACUUUGCAGAUUAUUUCGGAGAAUAGCCCGUUUUAUUCCAUAAUUGGGCCAACUCGAAAGUUUUUAUCCAGGUAAGUUAUGGUGCCUUAAAAUUUGCUUAAUUUCCAGUUUAAGAAUCAACCACGUGAUGGGCAUGGACACAAAUCCGGGUUGUUAACUAAAGACGUGACUUCAAAGUAUAUGUCAAAUUUAAGGCCAAACUGAAUAGAGAUUAUAUUGUCUUUGAAUUUAUGUAGUUCGGCUAUUUUAUCGUAAAUUUUAAAACAUACUUUGAAUUCCUGACAGUUCUUACUUUCGUGGAUAUCCCGAUCAUAUUUGCAGACGAGAGACAGAUUUGAUAUCUCUCUGAUCGCAGAAUAGACAUUCAUUUUGCAUUCUACACAAGCUAUAAGAAAGUCUUUGGAUUGCAAUUGUCCGGUUGGACAGACCUUGGGCUGGUUAUAUUGCGAAUUACGAACCUGUUAUAGUAACCUCUACCAUUCUUCUUUGGACAACCUUAUGAUCACAUCGCAGACGGAGAGAGUUUAGGACUGGGUCUUUGCGGGCGAGAUGUAGUUAAAUCCCAACUGGCCUACGAAGUCCCAGUUCUUGGCUCUCGAGGGCUCCGUACACAGUCAGCAAGAACCAGGCCUCAGAUUACAACAGCUGGGUGUUCAAUUUGUGUGUGUUUUUCCUUUUAACAUAUACCUCUUCUACAGUGAGUUGCAAUUAUUGGUUUUGUAAUCUACCUUAAUGAUCUGUCCCAGUUAAGUGAAAACGCUUUUUAAUAAGUAGUCUUGCUAAACGCCCCUUUGAGACCAGAAGUGCAUUUUUGUCUUGUACUCUCUCAGUUUAACAGUCAAUUAGUGAUUGCAAAAACUCAUUCUGUGUUUGAAGCAUAAUUUGGGCCUUGUGUAGAUUUCAGAGGUCUCUGGUUUACGUAGAACUUGUGGAUCCUGUGAGGUGUAUCCACUACAUCGGGAAUUGGGGAGAAAUGACUAGAGAACUGCAGAUUUUAGGCAAAAUAUCGUCGCUAGAAAAUGUAUAGUUAAUUUAGAUGAACUAUUGCCAUUCUCGUGUCCAUUUCCACUCCCUGUUUGUUCUGGGAAUAAAAUGGAGCUAGUCAAUGUCUGAAAGGUAUAGUGAUGCUUAUUGGGUUCGUUUGGCUAUUGGGCUUAAUCGAUUAGAAUUCGAACUAUAGAAAACUGAAGUAAAAAAUAGCUGAUACAGAACGUUCAGCUGUAUUGACAGCUUGGCUAAGUUAGGCAAAAAAAAAAAAUCAGUUUUAUUUGUGUGCUAUAAUUCAAUGUUUAGUGAAUAAGCCUCUUUAUAGACUAGGUACAAUGAAAAUUUUUAUGUGUGUAUAUAAUAUAGAGAGAAAAUAUAUUUUUUAUAUGGGGUUUUGUUACAAACUAACGUAAACCAAGUUUGGAUAAAAAAAAUCAGUCAGUUAAUUAGAAAUUCAUGCACACUUCAAAAUUUCCAAUUGUUUAUAUUUUAACUAUUUCAGUAUUAAACUUAUUCUCUAAACCUGAAUUGAUCGGAAAAUUGUAGGUUUUAGGCCGGAAUAACUAAACCGGAGAACAUUUUUUAAAUUUGGCUGGUUUGGCCUUUAAAUAUGAAAUCUUAUUUUUAGUUCUCCGCAGUUUACGAUUUCCAGAACAACCUCAUCUGGUCUGUUUUGGUUUUUAUUCCAAGUCCGUACUUUUUGCAAACACUUCUUGCGAAAUUUUAAGUCAUCUAUUUAUUUGUAAAAAUUUUUUUUUACUCUAAAGCUCUUUUAUUGGAUCAGUUUGACGCGACACUCUGUCCAUGUACAUGCAAUAGUUAUGAUCUUUCCAAAUCCGCCAGUUUACCAGCCCAUGGGGAAUUAUGUGUCCUAACUACAUUGCUGCCUGAUUGCGUACUUGGGGGUGUAUUCAAUAAGCAGUGAAUUGUGAACGGAGCUGCAACGUUUAGGCAAUUAAUGCUGAUUUUAGAAAAAAUUCUCCAAAUUGCCGAUUACUCUGGGUAGAAUUAGACAACUUGAUUUCAAUCCAUUGUCAUUUUUAAUAUUUAGUGAAUAAAACUUUAGUGUUAUUUACAUUAACCCAUUAGAUCUGUAUUGUUUGCUGUGAAUAUUUGCUGACACUUUGCAGUUACCUAUGUGUAGGAUUGGCUAUUGUUCCAGAAACCAUCCCCCCCCCCCCUCGCAAAGUUUAACACAGUAGGAGUCCGAAAACAUGCAGACUGUCGCAUGAACAUCUUAUAAGAUAAAGAAGUUCGCUUUUCGUGAUGCUUUACCUGUGUUAAGGCUGUUCUUCAGUACCUGGGGGUCUUUUUCUUUUUGUCCCCAGUUAAUUUAAAGGAUUUUCUGGCUCGGUCAUUUUUUAUACAAAGAUGCACUAUGUCGCCCUAAGGCGAGACUCCAAAUAUAUUGUGACUCUUUAGUGACUGGUUUGCAGAGUAUUACUCUGUGCUUGGAUUUUGGAUCCUAUUUUCAUUAUUUACCUAUAAUUGAAUCAGCUGCCAUUUUGAAUGUUUGUGUGUACACACACAGCGCAGUUCUGUAUAGAAGAGGUGAUAUGACUCAGACCCCACUGUCCACUUUUUAUAUAUUUUUUUUUCAUAGUUUAUAACUUUCCCUUUUAAAAAAACCAAUGGACCUCCCCAGAGGGGGUAAGUCUAAUUCUCCUGUGACAGGGCCGGUGUGUUAGUUAUGUACCUGGCUUGGUGCCCCCGCGAUCCCCUCUCCUGCCCUGUUGUAGGCUGUGAUUGUUAAUGUAUGGCUAGUGAAACAUGGCGUUUGGCUGACGCACUGUUUCAGGUUAUAAGCCGGUGGUAUUCACAUGCCGACGCUGUCCCACAAUGCAUUGCAUUAAACCUAUUUGCUUCCCUGGGUCCAGGCAACUAAGUAGAUUCACCCCAGCUCCAGGGGCUACUCCUUGCCAGAAACCUUCCUUGCCCCCCCACUACUCCAAGCAGCCAUGUUUAGUCUGGGUGGUCUAGUGGCAUAUACAUUGCACGCUCUGGGUAUUCCUCCAUUAACUUCUAGCUUUGUUGUUCUUUAAGAUGUCUGAAGUGAGGGCCAUGGAAGCCGUUAUACAUAGUUGCUGACCUAAAGGGUUACUCCAUACAAAAAAAUGUCUCUCAGCCCAAGAAAAGUGGGAAAGGGAAUGGUUAAAAGUCAGGCCAAGUUAUCCCUGCAGCCCGAUUCUCCUCUGCCGACGUUCCCCCCCCCACCUUGCCGGAGAACAGGGACAUGCUAACGUGUCACCAGCAUGCUGUGUGUGUUGGCGUCAGACUGCUAAUAUGCACAGAAUUGACAUUGGCCAGGAUAGAACUUGUUGUUCCGAGCUGGAUAACGACAACUCAGGGACGCUGCCGGAAGUGGAGUUACACAAAAGUAAAAACGGAUUAACUCUGUAUGUGGAGUGUUUUGCUAUGAAUCGCUGCACAUACAUACAGACCACAGGCACCACAACCACUUCAAAUCACUGAAGUGGUCAUGAUGCUCACAUUAGUCUUUUAAGGCAAGGAGAAGGGGUUCUAGAUGCGAGAAAAAAAAGUUGUGCUAGAAUCACCACUGCAAGCUCUGGCCCAGUGAAUGUCAAGGAUUAACUAGAGAAUAAGGUGAGAUUUACUAUUUGUGCUAAUUGUGUGGACAUUUAUAAAUGGAGAAAAUCAGUGAUACAGGAUCUCAAAAUCCAAAGGACAAGUAAGGGGUUAAUAUAUGCAACACGUUCCCACGGCAGCCAGCAUAAAGAUUGACAUACAGAGGUGACACAAAGUCAAAAUGGUGGCAACGUAUGAUGGCAAAUUCUAAACAAGACCAGUAGCUGGAUGCAGACUAGUCGUUCAACACAGUUAAAGUUAUUCUGUAAAUUGGAAAUUACGGAGAAUUGAUAAGUUUGCAAAUUUUAUUCCAAAAUAGCAGAACCGGAAAAGGUCCCCAAUCCUAUUUUGUCUUUAAAAAAAAAAAAGCAAAUUCCAUGGCCAUUCUCUGUACCGUCCAAUUUAUUGAAUAACACCAUCAGACAAAUUCUGCUCUUAUAAUGAGUGUUGGUUGUAAAUUACCUUAAAUGAGCAGAGCAGGAAAAAUUGAUUUGGAUUUGCAUGGCAAAUGGGCAGAUUCAUCGACCAAUUGAUCAGUCACAGAUUUAAAAAAAAUGAAUUCUCUCUCUAAAUAUGCAUUUGUUGAAUCGGCAGCUCUCCGAGCCUUGCCCCAGUACACCAUAUUUUCUAUCUUUGCAAACUGCCACAAUUUCACAUCCUUGUGCUGUGCAGAGAUGUGUGGGAGAAGUUCAGCCAUAGAAAUGUACAGAAGCAUCGUGAUUGGCAGAGUCACUUCCUGGUCUGAGUAGCGCUCAAUACAGAAGCUGCAAAGCGUGGAGGUUUACAGUAAAUGCAGGAAGCUCACGUGACAUUUUUUUUGUUUCGAAUUAUUUAUUUUUCCAUUUUCAUGGUUUAUUUUUACAUUUAUUUUUGUAACACAUUAUCACAAUGUGGUAAAAAUUAGUGGCUUAAAUCCCAGACAGAGAGUCCAUUUUUAAGGAAACAAACUUCUCCAAAACUAUCUGUAAAGUCAGUUUUUUUUUUCUUAGAAAGUUUAUCUUAAGAGGAGUCACAGAUAAAAUCGUGUUUGCAGACAUUUAUAUUAAUUCCUAGAAAUUAAUUUGCAGAGAAUGUUCCAUCUCGGGUUACACCUGCUGCUGUUUUUCAGUAGAAAAGGAUUUGUGAAGGAUUUAAUUUAUCCUGUUUUCCCGGAGAAUGGCUAAAUAUUUCAGAUUUAAUGUUUUGCAUUCUCACAGGGUUAUUCUGGGAACCAUAAAUCUUUGGGGCAUUCACUGCGGAAUUACAAAUUCUAUGCUAAUGGCCAAACUGGAAAAAUUCAUAGUCCGCAAUGCGUACAGCUCAGCUAUCUUGGCUGUAAAUUCCCCAGUGAAUUCUGACAAUUUCUGUUUAAAAAAAUAAAAGUCUGAAAAAUAUUUUAGAAUUUAUUCACUAAACAGUGUAUUAUAAAACAAACCUCAAAAUUCAGCCUAAAAUAGCCAGACGGUGAUAAUAGCAGCGUUUGAGAAUUUGUCCAAAUCAGAACACGUCUUGCGUUUUGGGUUUUUAAUUCACUGUUGAGUGAUAGAUAUGUUCUUGUUUAGCCAUAAUGAGAGAUUUUACUGUAAUAUUCCCAGAUAUAGAAAGUCGUUAAUCUUUGUCCUCUGUAAAAACCGAUCAUUAAUGAACAUGCGCGAUCUGGUUUUAUUAGCAACUUUUGUCUUCAUUGCAGAAAAUUUUAAAAAGCUGACUUUUAAAAAAAAUACAAUCUUAAAAAAAUUUGCUAUAAUAUUUCUGCAAUUAAAAGAUCGAGGCACAAUUGAAGGGCCCUUUAAGGCGCUGUAAUGUUUACCUGAAGUAACUUUGGAGGUAGUUAGUAUUGGGGGAAAUUUGAGGCUAUGAGCUUCCUGUUUUCAAAAUACCGUGGACUGUAACUCCUAUGACUCUAAAGGAUAGCUAUGGAUCGUGAGAACUAUAGUUUAGUUUUUAAACCUCUGGUGCCAAAGUUCACCAUCCUUCUCAUAUUUGAAGACACAGUGCUGUAUAAUUGGGUACCCACACUGAAUCCGGUAGAAACAUAUUGUAAUAUUGAAUUAAAGAUGCUUUGAGGUAGGUGGUUAAUGUAUACAGUUUACAGCAGCACUUAGUAACUGUGCUUUUAUAUAAUGACUGAAAUAACCAACAUCUGUUUGCGCGCUGUAACCUUUGUUUAUGUGCUAACGUUUUAAUGAGAUCUAUUUAAUUAACUGGGGCCAGGCAACCGUCACCUAUAUCUGUCGUUUUCUUUUUGUACUUUAAUAAAUGCUAUUUCAGCAACAGCAGGACGGUAACGUUUUUAUCGAUAAUUGAAUGUUAAAUAUAAUGAUUGCGAGGUGGGUCUAAAUUAGUUCCUCACUUUUCUUCGCUAUGUACCAGAUUGAGCAUCAAGCGAUGCUCACAAACUCACAGAUAAAAGAAUGGCUAGACUUGCACGUUUGUAAACUCCAAUUCCUGUGAUGCAGGAUGGGGUAGUGGGGAAAUCAACUUAUUCACAUUAAAGGCCAAGCAGUAGCCCCCUCCCCAUAUUUAUUAAGAACUCCUGACACAAAUCGUCGGUGGAUGCAGCGCUCACAGACUCUAAGUACCAUAACAACUACAAUGAGUUGCUAUGGUUAUCUUAAACACUGAUUGGAAGGGAUUAGUAUAGAGCACACAAUUUUAAUUCCAUUCAUUAGAGAGUUGUGAAUGGAAGUGCUUUUUAUUAUUUAUUUUUUUUCUAAUGUAGUUCUGUGUCGGAACACUACACACUCUGUCUGGACUUUAUGUACCUCUGCAAAUACAUGAUCAAAGUUAUAUUUGUAAGUUGUUCUUGGGCAACAAAAUCCAACUGACAGAUUUCAAUGAUGUCUUUGUGGUCUAAAUAUCUUGCAAUGUUCCUGUCUUGUUUGUUAAAGUAACUGAUUUACUAUUUGUUUCCAACAAAGGCUUUAUUUAUUUAUUUAUUCUAUGACGGAAAUAAAAAUGUAUCGUUUCGUACUGUUUUUGAUUACGUAUAAUUUUUGCAAAAUUUGUAAUAAAUUACAUUUUUUUAUUUACAUUGAUGUAGCAAAAUAAUAGAUAUUUGAUCAUUGCAGUUUUGCUCACUUUUAACAGUGUUAUAUAUUGGAAACGUCGUUUAAUGUGCCCAUUUACUUGGAUAUGCCAGUUUUAUUCACCAAAUCGUGAAACUUUGUGUAAAUGCAAAUUUUAGGAUGAAAUAGACAAACUGGAAUGUUACUAUGAUCCAAAUUCAGAAAUUCACUUGUAAUCCCCACUUUGUACUGGAGACGUUUUAAGAAUUGUAUUCCUUACACUAUAGGAUCCCUUUAAUGUGUAAAUUGUUGGAAAUUCAAAACAAAUGUAAAAUUUUUGGCGUAGUUCACUGAACUGACAGCACUUUCCCAUAUCCACUAUUGUAGAAAAAAAUGUUAAGUUGGUUUUUAUUUCUAAACCGUUAAUUUACUUAAUUUUUUUGUAAGGUUCAUUGUCGAGUUGACAUCAGUUUAUAUGUCAAAAUUUAGAUUGAAAUCGCUUAACAGGAAAACCUCUUCAACUCAACCAUAGCCACAGACUGGCUGUUUUGAACCAAAAAUUGACUGUUCUGAUUUUAGCUUGGAAUUCAGUGAAUAACUGUCAGCGUUCACUAAACUGUGAGCUGUUAGUUAAUUCAGAGAGAAUUUCAGAUUUUAUAGCAGAAUUUAAAAAAAUGUUCUCAGUUCAGCGUUUUUUUGUAUCCUCCCUCUUCCCUAAAUGUUGAAAUUCAUUUUUAAUUCCUGAUAAAUUUACAUAUUGGUGAAUAAUGUUGACAUUGCACAGUUUAAAUUUAUAAUCACUAUUUAGUAGACAUGUCCCUAAUGACAACAUUUAAUUUUAUUUAUUUUUCCCUUGAGAGUAUUUCUAAAAACAGCUAGCAAAAUCUAUUUUCUGAAGCCUUUGAAAGCAAUUACUUGUGUGUCUGUCCAAUCACAGACUUCCCAAUGUUGCUCAAUGAGAAGUCUUUGCAAGGCAGGUGCUCUGGGCAAUUUCUGCCUCUUGAAUUUAGCUCCACUGAGCUAACCAAACCAGGAAGUAACAUUACCUGUUGUCUGACAGCGAGAUUGGGUGUAGGAAGGUUAAUCUGUAAAAGUGCAAUUGUCUAAUUUAAAACCUGCAUUCUUAUGUGUAAUGUGUGUGUGUGUCCUGAUUCCAGUAGAGGUUUCUCAGCACUGGAUCUCCUCCUACCGAGACGUCACGGCGAUUGGCGAUACCCAUAGAAAAAAGCAUUUAAUCAAUGGUUUCCUGUGGGGAUUUUCAAGGUGGACGUCCUGUGUUGUUUAACUAGGGGAGGAGUUAACCCUGCAAUGUAAAUAUUAUUGUACUUCCAGAAACUGCAAUAUUUUCCAUUGACGUGGCCUGGGUUCAGUGUCCCUUUAACCCCGCAGUGAGAUGAAGUGGCCUGAGUCCAGGGUCCCUUUAACCCUGCAGUGAGAUGAAGUGGUCUGGGUGCAGUAUCCCUUUAACCCCGCAGUGAGAUGAAGUGGCCUGGGUCCAGUGUCCCUUUAACCCUGCAGUGAGAUUAAAUGGCCUGGGUCCAGUGUCCCUUUAACCCUGCAGUGAGAUGAAGUAGCCUGGAUCCAGUGUCCCUUUAACCCCGCAGUGAGAUGAAGUGGUCUGGGUGCCUAUAGUGUCUCUUUAGUCUUCAGUUCAGCGUCUAUCUUGGUAAAUUGUGUUACGGCGUCUGGAUCUCUCAUAAACACCGUUCGUAUAAAAAGUGAUUAUAAUCAUUUUAAGGGAGUUGUGCUUUGAUCAGGAAACGCCUUAAGAAAAGUUAUGCUGAUGUUUGUUAUUUUUAUGAUGCUCUAUGAGAAUAUUUUUUGUCUCCAGAAAAUCAGAGGAACCAGCAGACCGCAAGAAAAAUGAAGGACUUUGAGGGGCAGCUGUGUUUAACUAACCCAGUCAUAAUGCCCCUAAAAAUCCUUAUUGUUCUUGCAAUAUUCAACCGUCCUCGCAGAAGAACUUGGUGAAAUUUUAUGGUUGUGAAUGUUCUUUGGGGAUGUAUUUGCUAACCACUGAAACGUGAAUUGUAAAUCAGUCAGGAAAAUUUGUGAAAUAUCGUGUAAUGCAAUUUAUGUAUAAUUUAACAUGUACUUUUACAGUUUAUACAGCCUGCUUUGAGAAGACGUAAUGGGAAUAAUAGUCCAUUAGACAUGUGGAUGGUCCCAGAUUUUCUGUGUCUGUCCAAUGCAGCUCAAUGAGAAGUCUUUGCCAGCCAGGUGCUCUGGGCAAUUGUUGCCUCUUGAGUUUAGCUCCAUUGAUUUCAGCAACCAGGAAGUAACAGGAUCGAUUAUCUGAUUGACAGCUAAGGGGGUGUAACAAGAUUAAUUUAGGCAAAUGUCUAAUUUGAAAUCUGCACUUUUACGUGUGACCUUUAAUUUCUUUUAAAUCCGUUUGAAAAAUGAAACAUUUAAAAACAAACCUAUACAAGCAGAUUACGAAGAAAAUGUUCUACAUCUUUUCAUCAAUCUUGACUAAAUGUGUGGAUCAAAGUACCCAAUGGAUAUCAUAAUUUAAAAAUUCUAUGUAUCCCUGUGUGUUCAUCAAAAUUAACUACAGUGCAGUAUAAAAUCUGUGUAUAAGUCCAUGUUAAAGGGUUACUCCAAACACCGCGACCACCCCAGGUAUUUGAAGUAGUUAUGGUCCUUGUAGUCUGCAUAUGCAGCGCUUUGCUUUGAAACCCCCAGGCUGCCAGAGGUUGUAACCACUACUGCGGUCUGUUUUGGCCAUGCUGCCUGGACAACAUUUUUAAGCCAUAUUUUAAACUACUUUUAUUUAUUUUUUCUGAUACAUAUGCAGAUUCACACAGUUCUUGGGGGAAAUCAAAAUCUGCUGGUUAGUUCUUGCUUCGCUUAAAGAAUGUAAACUUUUUUUAAAAUGAUUAUUUAUUUUUUUUUAUAUCCAGAAUGAGCAAGUCUGUGCGUGAAUGCAGGGCAGCUGGGUUUGACAUAACUGACUCAGCAAAACAGGGUCUCGCUAAUCCUCCCUCUAUUAUAGCGUUUCCUUCAGGGCAAUAAGAGCUUGUAAUUUACUUUUAUAAACGGAUCAAGACCUACUGCCAUUUCCUCGGUGUGUAAAGGCAUUUUGCUUUGUACAAUCACUGACGUGAUAUUGAUCUGUCAAUGACUGUAAAUACAUUGUUUGUACUGUCUGGCUAAUACCUUUUGACAUUCUACAGUGGUGUCUGCAGUAAUAUAUAAGCAAACGUUAGAUUCUCAGCUGUUCUAGAAUGCCACCUGUAGCGGAGCUACAAUAUUAAAAUCAAUAUCUCCGCUGGUAGACUGUAGAACAUCCAAGAUAAGCGCAGUGUAGCAAUUUAAUUGCAAUUUCCCCAGUAACCGGACGAUACACAGUUCUGGGAGUCAACUCAUUUUUAUUCUGCCACAGCUGGCUUUUAUGCAACUCCCCAUGCAAGGGGUUUCUUAAAUUACAUUCCAGGGGUUUUUCCCCGGUGGACCUGAGUGGAGACAUGCAAAAAAUAAACAUUUCACAGAUGACUCCUCUGUACCUGGGAGAGUACCUGAGUAAGAACAACUCUUUAAUUACAUUAUCUCCCAGGUACAGAAAAUAUACAAUAUUUAUAAAUGGUAUAAAAUAAAUUUUAAAACUUCAGAACUCCCCAAAAGUUACUUUAUCAAAUAGCUGGAAUCUGAGAGCCCACCUUGUCAAAAUAUCCCUCCGAUCCGUUGGGUGGUUUUGGAACGCCAUUCGAGUAAAGUUCAGACCGGUCGACCAUGAGGUGAAGCCCCAAAACAGUUCCAGAGAUUACUAGCCUUAGACCGGUCUUCUUUCGGGAGUAUAAAACAUAGAAAAUAAUGAAUGAAACCAUUCGUGUAGCAGGGGAUUGUGUGCCCCGUGUUCGGUAGUUUGUUUCAUACGAAUGUCGCUCUUUCCAGGUGAACUGAACCGAACACACGAAGGGGUGGUAGUUCAGCGGUGUUUGCGCCGUCAAGUGUCUGACUACACACCGAUGUCUGUGUUCGUGGACAAAGAUGGCCGCCACCAUGUGUUCGGUCAUAUGAACGACGGCCACCCAGCCAACCGCCUAGAACCUUGCGGUUUUUAAGUGUGAAUAAAGUCAAUUGGAGGCACACGACUCACCUAGGUGGUCCAACUGUUCGGCCAAUGGUUCGGUAUGCGAAGAAUAUAGCUAUGGUCUGUUCGGUGAACCCUAAUUGUCGAACUAGAAAAGCCACAACUAUGAACAGAACAGUCUCUAAUACAAAUAGGUGGCUGGUUCUGCCACAUCACCUAUGCUGUUUUACCAUUACUAAGGCAUCAUGAGAAUCCUACCACUAAUGUGGUCGCCACGAUCUAUAUGUUGGGUAUUCUAAACUGCAAGAAAAUGAAACUGAACUGCUUGCUCUCUCUUUACGUUCCUCAAAAUUGGACAUUUAUAUGUUUCUCUAAAAAGAAAGUUUGAAAGAAAAAAAAAUCUGUAUUUUUUUAUAAUAUAGACCUUAAGUGGCUUUUACAGCACACUGUAUGAAAGUCAGGUUUGUGUGAACUUUAAACCUGUGUGUUAACUGCAUAGAAAAUAUAAACCGAUAACAGGAAAUGGUACACAUUUUAAAAUGUUAUUAUAUCCAACUUUAUUUUUUUUCCAGGGGUUUAUAAUUUGUCUUUAAGUAGAUAGGAAGUAAAACAAUGUAAGCAACAGGAAAGUCGUUUCCUUUAUAUAAAUAACCAUGGAUAUAAUUUCACCUUAAAUCAUAAACAAAUAGGAAACACCUGAUUGGUAUGUAUAAUUUCACAUAUAGGAGUGCACAAACAGAUUACAUAGCAGACAUUAGGUACGUAAACGAGCAAAUAUAGGGUAGAUAUUAUUAUUAGAAUGGAUUCAUAGUUUAUAAAAUAUUUUACAUACAUUGUUCUCUCUCGUUUUCAUAUUUGUCCUGUGGAACACAUAUAAUUACAAUGUUACAUAUACAGUAGAAGAACUACACCGUACAAUUCUAGAUACAUGGUUAAAGGGUCACUAUAGAACUAUAGUCACUAAAACAAACAUGUAUUCCUGACCCUAUAGUGUUAACACCACAAUCUAGCCCCUCUGGGCCCCUCAUGCCUCCAUAAAUAUUGUAAAAAUCUUACUGUAUUCAAGGCUGAAGCUGUAAAUCUGCAUGCUGUUAGACUCAGAAAAACAAUCAGUCUGCUGACAUGUGAUAGCCUGAUCCAAUCACAAUGCUUCCCCAUAGGAUUGGCUGAGACUGACAAAGAGGCAGAUCAGGGGCAGAGCCAACAUGAUUCAAACACAGCCCUGGCCAAUCAGCAUCUCCUCAUAGAGAUGAAUUGAAUUAAUGUAUCUCUAUGAGGAAAGUUCAGUGUCUGCAUGCGGAGGGAGGAGAUACUGAAUCACAGGAUGCUGUGCGCAGUGCUGCCCUGUGCUCUGCUGACAGCAGAUCUGAGUGGAUGGAGGCAUAUUAUGCCUCCAUCAACUCAGAAGUCCCUCUGGUGGUUGACUGAGGGAAGACUUAGAGCUGCAAUGUAAACAUUGCAGUUACUCUGGAACUGCAAUGUUUACAUUGCAGCAGUAAGUGCAAAAGGGUCACAGCACCCUGACUACUUCAAUUAGCUGACGUGGUCUGGGUGCCUACAGUGUCCCUUUAAGUAAUAUAUAGCAGAGACUGGGUGUAUAAUUUAGUGUUCUCUACAUACUAUAAUAACUGUAUAAGUUAUACAGAUGUUGCAUUAUAAUAUUCUAGAUGUGAGAAGAUGGCUGUUCUGUUGAGACAAUGAAAGGCUGAGCCAGGUAUAUUGGGCAUAGGCAUAGCACAUGCGACCCUGAGGUGUGAACAACUGCUGCAGUCUGUGUAUUAACGAACUACGUGAGCAGUCUUGUUGCCACCAAGUUGUAUAUCGAAAAAUCGGUUAAAGCAGCACUGUUGGAGAUUUUGCAUAGUUUGCAAAGACUCCCAAUGGUGGCAUUGCUGCUGGGGGGUAAGUGAGUUCUACUUACCUGAACCUGUUGACGCCCUUCUCUUCCGGACAGCCCUCUGCUGCAGCUUCACCUCCAUAGACCGAGCCAAUUCCAUGAAGCCAUCGCUGGUGCCCCCUACUGCCUCUACAGCCUGCCUCCUCUCCUUUCUAUAUCUCGUCCUCCUCUCUUCUCUCUAUAUAUAUGGCUUUGUUGCCAGUCACGCCCCUCCGUUUCCUAUACACCCUACCCAGCACUAACUGUGCCAGGGAGGGAGUUUACAUAGCAGCCACAGCGCAUCUAUUUUUGGAUGAUUAGUACUUUUUCAAAUAACUUUUCAUUUAAAAACAUUUAUAUAUAAUGUUUCCUUUUUAUGAAAGGGAUCCACAACAGACAAGGAUAGAGAACCCCCUGCGAAAAGCAAAUCCAUCCAUAUUUUAAUGCAGUAUAUUGAGGAUAUUAAAGGGAAAUAAGCCACUUUCUGUGCGGAAGGGAGGGGAUAGAUUUACAACGAAAAACUAGUUAAUACUAACUCUAACACCAAAACAGAUUGACAAAUAAAAACCCUCUGCUGAUUAGCUAAAUAUAACCUGAGCCAGUAUACCCCCUUUUAAAGGGUAAUCAUUGAUAUAAUUUCUAAAAACAAUAUUGCCCAAGUUUAGAAAAAAAAAACAACAACACGCAAAACUCUAACCCUGCAAACCCAUUCACUGCAACAGAAUAUCUCCUCCAACACCAAUCCAGGUUCUCUCAAUUCUGGUCAAUAGCUACUGAUUUUAUCCCAUAAUCUCCCACACAAGCAGAGUUUUGAGAUAAGUAAUUUAUGUCCAACGAGCAGUUCCAAUUAUCACAGGGUGAUGGGAAAUGCUCAAUGAAUCGGUAACAGUUAUUGACAGUUUAAUGAAUUGGGCUGUUAAUGUUAAUGUUUUAGAGAGUGGAGGAUUGCACAUGCAUGGCCUGGGACUCCGCUCCAAAUAAACAUGCAACGUAUACAUAUUGCAAACACAAUAGGAUCAAAAUUAGCACAGGCAACCGAGCAAAGUAUUCUGGGCUGCCUUACUAACCGGCCUUGUUGUUUAUAAGCCAUUAUUAAACACGUAGUGUGGACUCCAGGUACCAUGUACUUUGCAGUAAUGCCAAAUGCUUAUACUGACCCAUUUAUACCCUCCCCUCAUAGUAUGUCUGGAACCUAACCAGUGUCCUUUUAAGAUGACCAUAUUUUUCAGAAUGCGCGCUUGGCAAUGGUUUCAGAGAGCGGCCUUUUCAAUGUUGUCGUGAAAUCUCCAAUUAUAAUCUGUGAUAAGGAAGCUAAAUGUUUGUGCUGUACUCCAAGGAAGCCUAAACAAUAAAGCUUUCAUAUUCGCUGGCACGAAGCAUCACAUGAUGUACCCAGUGGAUGCCGUUACUUUAACCAUUUAUGGGACGAGGUUUAGCAUUUAUCAUUCUAAAAGUAACUUUAAUUGAAGGUAUGAAUUUACUGUACUCAUGGUCUUUAUCAAUUACAUAUUACUGGAUUUAAAGGACCACUUCACACUUACUCAUAAAGUCACUAUUUAGAAAACAUACCCCAAAGAAUACAUGCAUGCAUUUUUCCUCUAUAUCUGUCCCUGGUGUGCAUGUAUUGCCUGUCUGAGAGGCAUGCGCAUGAGACAAGCACACCUGACUAAAGAGCGCCUGCCGUUUCCAUUAGCUCAAGGGAGGUAACGGAUGCAGGUAGCAAACCAUCCAGGCUGUUUGACAGCCUGGGGGUGUUUAUUAUUUAAUGAUAAAAAUGCCUUUUCAAUGGGAUACCCUUCAACCAUAAACUCCUUCAGCAAGCUGGUCAUUUUAAUGUUUCCACAUCUGUUUGUGUGCUUGUGGGCAGGUUUGUCAUACAUUUGCACUCAACGCACAUUACUGUGAGUUUUAUUGCUUUGGAGCUCUGGGAUAUAGCCAUACGCACAGCACAUUGUGAGUCUUAUUGCUGUGGAGCUCUGUGAUAAUCAUAAUAGUCAUAAUAAUAGCAUAAUAUUGUACAGCUUUGUUUAAUUUAAUUUGAUGAACCAGUUAAGCCCCUAAGUAAAUGGACAGGGCGAUAUGACUUUUACAUGCAUACCUCGGCUAUAAGGUUUUGUGAAGGAGAUCCAUCAACGGGUAAAGAGGCAAACAUAUAUAAAUCAAGGGCUCUCAUUUACGUGUGAGCCGGUGUCUGCAUCCAUUGCAGUGUCACCCUCCGAAAACAUGUUCAAAGUGACAGUUUGGCUUUCAUAAUUAAAUGCUGGGGAUUCUCUGUUUAUAUUUGUUACUCCGGUGAUGUGUGACGCUAACUGGUGUAUAAAAUGACGGACAUAUUCUGUAAAUUAUGUAAAUAUUACACUGCUGGUAUAUCUCAAAUCUACACACCUACAGCUUGUUCGUCCCAGUUCUAAGCCCUGCAUUUUACUGAUGGGGUAGUAUGGGGACCCUUACAUCGACACCACCAAGUGUCUCGCUGAGCAUUGUGGGAAAUAAAGCUUGCAAAUAUUUAUUUAGCUAUGGGGUUGUUGUGUUUCUUCAAACUGAUGUUUAACCCUGAUACUGAACAUAGAAAAGGUAGAUUCUCACUUGUGUCUUAAUAUUGAUAUUUUACCUUAACCCUUACUUCCCUUGCACCCACCUGAUGACAUACAGCAUUCCAUUCACUGAACUGGUUUAAAAUUUCAUUUGGAUUGGAAUAAGAUGUGAUUUUUGUCAUGCAAGGUUUAAAGUGUUUUAUUUUAAUGAUUGAAUUGAGAUUAUCGCUGUACAUUUCAUUAAAUCAUACGUGCCAGGAAUGCAGACAGGAUUCUGCGUGUCUGACAGCUGGAAGCCAUUUAUUUAAAUGUCCAUUUAGCACCAAAAGCUUAUUCGGCUCUAUCGGGACAAGAAACCUCGCCAAAAUGUUACAUUUCCUUGGACAGCUGAGACGUCUUACUUUCCAAUCGCAUGGCUUCUUUCUAAACUUAAACAUAUAUUUUUGUAUACAUUUUAUAAUUUUUUUCUAUUUUCAUUUAAAGGGACACACUAUGUAAGAUACUACCUCCAAGUCGUUAUGUGGUCAGGAUGCUUAGAGCUUCCUAGUGCUGCCUCAUUGUUUAAUAUCAAAACAUUUUAGGAACUCUUCUCGGCACACAGGCCCCCAUCUUGGCCACAUUGACAGAAUAGAAUUAACACUUUUUGUAUCCUCAAUAUACAAUUUCAUCCAAGUUGGGCAGCAACUGAUUAGCUGAGAGGGCUGGAACUGUAUGGGUUAUAAUGUUUACAAUGUCCCUUUUUAAAGCAUAUUAAAAAAUAAAAACAAAUCUUCAUUUUAUAUUUGCCUUACUUUUGCAAAACUAAUGUUCUUGGCCUGGAACUCCAGCUCGGAGGGGGUGCCCUGAGCAGAUCACUUUCUGUGCUGCUGUACUGUCCUGGCACGUCAGAAUUGUAAAAGGAGCUCUGGGAGUGAUCUGCUCCCACUGGAUGUGCAGACUACCUCACUGACCAUAACAAUAAUGUGAACACCAGAUUGUCAGAAAUCUUUCUUGAAAUUAUAUUCUUAAAAUGGAAAAUGCAACUUUCCUUCUCUGUCUGCAUUGCGGUGUUUGUGUUUGUCAUCAAGCAGGAUUAUUCACUUUUCUCACUUUCUACCCUUCUCUUUAAGGGUACAAACAUACUAAAAUAUGACGGUGUUAACAAAAAAAGUCAAAGGUAGUGGCAACAUCUGAUAAUUAUACUGUUUUCACUCUGUGAAAUCAUGGGUACAGCAAACCGCCUACCAAGAAGCGGAUUGUAUAAACGUGCCUCGUUACAUUGAGACAAGAGAUUUGUAAAAAUAAUAACUUGAUAGUUGGCACUCGACCAUAUUUCACAACUUAUAAAAAGUUUUAUUGUACAGUUUGAUAUAACUUUCAGGUCUAGUAUUUUGUCUUGAUCGACAUAUGAGCUUAGAGGAGCUACCAUUGAUACUCCCUUAACAAACAUGUUAAUUCCUUGACAAAAAUUGUUCAACGUCACAAAUUGUCUUGUAAUGCAAAUUAUUACUGUUAUGUAUGUACUAACAUGACUAUGUGGCUCAGCACGUCAAAAAUAAAGAAUUUAAAAAAUAAAAAGAGAAAUCAAAGUGAAUUUUGGGCCAAAUUAGCUGAACUAAAAGCAUAGCUGACUUUCAAAAAAAUUUCCAAUGUGGCCUUAAAUUAAAUUCACUUUGCAUGAUCACGUUGGUGAAAAUCCCUGAGAGUGUGAGUUUGCUAUUUUGACUGAUAACGUCCCAACUAUGCACUGUCUAAUGAGCUCUGUUUCUGUAACUGUGUGAUGCUCUAUGGGAUUUAUUUAGCUUUGCAAUUUUGUAUUUUUAGGAAAAUGGGCCCAAUUUGUAUUGCUAAAUUUGUUUGGCAGAGAAGAUUAGGAUUAGCCCUGGGCUAGUCUGAAAAAAGGCGAGACGUGACUGUGCUGCUUUUAAUGAGCCGUUGAAUUUCAAACAUUGAACACGCCACUGGAUUGAAUAAAACACUAUUUAGUAGAUAUAUCCCAUGAAAACAUUAAAAUCUCUAUUUUUAUAUGGGAGCUAUAGCUAGUAACAUCUUGCAAAAGCUACAGAUCUCUUAUCUGCAGCCUUUGCAAAACCUUCACCUUUUCCCAGCACAGACUCUCAGCCUCAACGAGAAGCCUCUGAUCCGCAAGCAAGCACCUGUCAUUACAGUUAGCUCUGUGGAGUUAACGGAAUCGGGAAGAUAACCUUAUGGGCCGUCAGACAGCCAGGAAAGUGUUUCUGCAAUUUCUAAAGGUUCUUAUUUCAAAUAGAAAUCUGCACCUCUUUUCUAAACGGCAAUUAAACAUGAAAAGCUCCUUACGCAUAACGCUCUUCAGAAAGCUGAAAUACUUUUGUGUGUGAAGUCGUCCUCUAAGGACUAAUACAAUUGCUCAACAUCAGAGCAAAUACUAAACCUAUGUAUUUGUGCGAGGAGUUUUACAAUAAUUUUUCUCUGGGGGAAGAAAAUGUCACUAAGUGCAUCCACACUUAACUUGGUGAAUCUGGGGGUAUUUGCCUUUGUUAUUGCCUGGAAUCGAGAUUCUAGCAGCCUACAAGUAGUACUGGCGUGGGAGAGACGGAGGCUCUUCUGGCACGGUACCAGACUGAUUGGAUCUCACAUACCUGCCCUCUCUUCUUUGGACUGAAGGGGUUUAUCCAGAUUCCAGGCUUUCCCAAACUCAGCCUCCCAACCCCCAGAUGUUGCUGAACUACAACUCCCAUAAUUCUAUGAAUGAAAUAGGCUGAGAAUCAUGGGAGUUGUAGUUCAGCAACAUCUGGAAGGACAGAAUUUGGGGAUGCCUGGCCUAUGCAGAGAUGGAAACGGGAGACUUGAGAGCAUUAGCCAUUGCUUCCUCAUUGUCCAGGUUCAAUAACAUGUUUUUUUAGAAUUCCUGUCUCCUAUAGCAGGACGGCAUCCUCCACAGAGUUACCGUGUGGUGGCAAAGAAACCUACUUUUGGGUUUGUGGGCACAGCUAUGGUGGGGCAUGUUGUAAUAUCUACUACCCAGCUGGAACCCUCUAUAGAGGCUGACUACUCGGAACUUAGCUUGUGGAUAUUGGGAGCUGGGCUUGGACUUGCCUUUGGAGAGACUUUGUGGAAUCUAGGUGCAAUGCUAAUGCAGGCCACAUUCAGCAAAAUCAGACAGAAUGGGGAUGGGAUGAGGCUAUCGCUGGCAGUGUGGUUUUUGAUUACUUAAUUUAGCUACUAUUUUCACAGUAUUUGUGUAUUCACAUGCAUCACUGCUCAGCUCAAUACUGUAUCUGUCAUGUAUAGAUAUAGGGAGAGAUAUAAUAGAUAAGUAAUAUUAGUCCAGUAGACAAGAUGCCAAAAUAACCAGUAUUGCUUCAGAGAUGGGGGGGGGGAGAAUCUUGAGAGUUAAAAAAAAAGAAAAAAAGGUAUCAAUGCAUACAACAAUACUCUGGUUGUUUUGGAUAUAUAUAUAUAUAUAUAUAUAUAUAUAGUUGAGCCCCCUCCGACUUACCAUUUUUUGCACUGAAGGGGCACUCUAAUCUUGAUAACUAUGCAGCUGCAGGGGACAUAGCCGACCUGGCACUAGGAUGGUAGCAUCAACCCGCAUUCCUAAUGUUAUAGUGUCCCUGGAUUUUUACUUCCAGCCUCUUUCCAUUACCAAGGUUCUCUGGGCGCUGCUUAGCUCCCCUCUCUAGUGACAUCACGGAGGAUGCAUGGCCUCCUCUGCCGAUGAUCCAAUCCAAUGUUCCUCUUAGAGAAGCAAGGGGGUCCUAAUGGGCAUGUGCUUUCAAGCUUUCACCAUAGAAAAGCUUUGAAUCAAUGCUUCCGAAGUAAUGUAGAUUGUUUACAGCCCCCUAUAGCGUGAGGACGUUCAAUGUCUGACAGCAGAGUUUUACUCCACUAAAAUCCAGGAAGCACCAGUUAGUGGCUGUCUGAGAGACCGCCAAUAGAGGAGGGAUUAGCUAAAAAAUUUUUUUAAAAAUCUACGGUGGUUCAUCCAAAACUGCACUGUUGUUCUUCACAGGGCUAAAAUGACAGAGCCAAGGCAACUAAAACACUUUUUAUUAAUGUCCCUUUUUUAAGCGGUUUUGAAAAACAAAACAAAGGAAAAAAAUGGUGAAUGUUGUUGGAUUACUGGUUAGGGAAACUAGUUUGUAAGACUGAUAGUGUAAACACUUAUAUAUCAUUAAAUAUCCAAAUACAAACUAGCUAUUAAAGUCGUUUGUAAAAGGGUUCUUGAAGUUGAUGAGGAGGAUCACAUCCCGUGUGUGAUGGCAUUGAUUGCACUUACUACAUGAAAUCACGUAAAGCAGUGUUUCUUAACCUUUUUUACAGAGAAUUACCCCUGCAGAUCUAAUUUUUUUCCUAAAUACUCCUGCCUUGAGAGAGUCAUUUCUAUUGAUUUUAAAUUCCAAAUAAAACACGUAGACACUGAUAUUUAGAUUAAUCCCAUAUUGAACUAGCCUGAUUAAAGGUAGUAAUGAAAAUGUAUUUUAUUAAUAUAAAUGACAUAAUGUGAAUAUUGUGUAUGAACUAUUAAUGUGAAGUAUAAAAGUCACAAAAUAUAAUACACAUAUAUUUGUUGCACACAGAGUACAUACUCACCGACAGACACUCUGAUUUGACACACAGUUACACAGAGGACACUGACAUACUCACUGAUUUAACACACACAGACAGAUGGCCUUACUGACACACACUCACAAAUUAUGUUUUUAUUAUUUUUAUGUCCACCAGCUUUCCUACCUUUGGGAGAGGUGGAGUGGAUCCUUAUUGUGGGUUCCCUGUGACUGCUGUCAUCUUUGUGCUCUUCCAGCACUGCUCUAUUGCGCACUGUAGUGAUGCCGGGGUAACGUCAUAACCCGGCUGCGCGAGGGAGCAGUGAUGGAAGAUCAUGAAAGGUACAGCUCCAUUCUCCCCCACCGGCCGCCUCUUGGCGUACCCCUUGCCUGUGGUGCACCUACACCCGGUUGAGAAACUAGGACGUAAAGCAAUACAUAGAUUUAGUGCGGUAUGAGUGUUACAAUUAAGUAGUGUGUAAUACUUUGUAACACACGCCACCACCCCCAAGUAUAAAAAGUGCCAGUAGUUCUAAUAAAAGGCUGUGCAGCAUGCAGCUUUUAAAUAUAUUGCUCCACUGCCCGAGGAGCCAGCAUGCGAUUAUGGUGAUUAUGGCCAAUCAUCUUCCAAGGAGUCUACAGUAAUGUAGGAACCCAACUCCAAAAAGAAAUGGGAAUAUGGGAUUGUUUCCCAGUGAAUUCAUAAUGGACCGUGUCCAAUACAUCUCAUAAUCUUGUGUUUACUGUGGGAGGAUGACAGAAGAUGUUGCAUUUAAGAUGCUAUUCUGCACGGUUCGCAUCCUAGGGGGGAUUAUGGGGAGAUGCUGUAGUAAAAGGUCUUGUAAUCUAAUAGCACUAUUAGAGUCUAGUUCUUGAAAACACGGUGUAAUGUCCCAUAGAUGUGUAAUAUUCGACCGAUUUCCAAUUUACUCUUUAAUAUACAUCUGGUAAUAUAACUUUCUCCACAAGCCACAGCAGGCCAUAACCACCAAACUAUAUCUAGAGGAUUUGAUGUUCGUGGCACUAUUAUCCACGAGACCAGAGUCAUCUUGGUCAAUGACUGCGUAUGAGCUGUGUGAUACCAUCAAUGACGCUGCCUGUUGCCCCAACUGUUUAAAUACGCAUGUGAGUACUAUAAUGAACUUGUCCUUUGCAGUGUUAUCUGAACAGCCUUUAUUAAUUAAAAUUAUCAACCCCCAACUUCAUUACAUCAAACCACAAACCUGCUAUAUUCGGUCAAGGAAACUGGAAUACACAAGGUUGGUUUUUAAACAAUGUGUCUCAAGACAAACUUGGUAGGUCAAGGAAGUACCUACAAACAUUUUACGAAAACUUUUCCUCUAAUUUGUUUUAAUUUUGUUGUCCUAAGAUUGUGCUGCCAGCAAAAAAAAAAGUAUUUACAAUAGGUCUAUUCUGCUCAAUAUACAAAUCUCUGAAUAGACCUGACUCUUCCUGUUCUCUGUAACAUGUCGACCAAAUCCUAGCAUGAUCAAAGUAUUCCCUACCAGAUUUGCAAUCCUAAUAAUGUCCUUGGGCUAAUGGAGACAGAACACCUUGUACUCGGAUUCCUUGUUUUAACAAACUGCUGUGUUGGAAGGACCUGUGAACUAUAUCUGCUGGUGUAAAAAUGGGUGGCCUCUUGCGAGAAGUGCCCUACAGCUGUGUUAAGGUGGAAUUGCAUUUAGAAGUCUUCCUUUUAAAAUGUUUGAACUUGACAGACAAACUUACUCCUGAGCUAAUACUGUGAUCAGGAAUAACGGUUUUCACUCUGGUAAGGACAUUCUCGUGUGAGCAUUGUGACAAUAUGUCUAUCUAUCCCACAGAGAGUCACCUUGGAACAUUGCAGUAUCCAGCCGAUUCAGAUAUACCAAACUGUGUUCAGAAUCCAUUAUAGAUGUCUUUGAAAAAUAUUAAUUUAUUUUUGUGUUCUCAGGUAGAAAUCUAAAAUUAGGAAGGUGAUCACCUUGCUCUAUAAAUGAGUAAAAGAGGUAAAUCAUACAGUCUUUUAUCCUAUGGGAGGAAAAACCUAACAUUAUAUGCAAACCAACCUGGAGCUAGUUCAGUAAUUUGGAUCCCCUUACCUGUUCUAAUUUGGGAUUAUAAAAGCCCAUCUCAAAGGCAGAGCAGAUAUGAUAAAUACAAGAAACGUGUGUAUCUUAGCAGUGAUUUUACUUAUAGGUUUACAUCAUCCACAUUCUGCUCACGAAAUCAUUUAAGAAGUGAAUCGUGUCAGGUGUUUUUUGUGGCUUUUUUAGAACGUUGGUAUAUAUUUAUACCUUGAAGCCCAGUUGUCCAUGCAUACUUUACAUUUUGGCAGUGGGAGGUUUAGGAUUUCACAAAUUUACUAUCUGACACUUUGGGAUCCUGUGUCUGGGUGGGUGGGGGUGGGAGAUGAAGGGGUGCACAGAACGAAGAGAAUCUCCAUGUGUGAUAAUUUGGCCACCAACUCCGACAUAACGUAAUGCAUCCUGUACAAGGAUUGGGCUCUGUGUCCUCAGGAGCAUGCACACCUAAAUUUAGCCAGAUAAUUACAGGAUGAAUUUCGUCUUGUGAUGUUUCAGCCAUACCUCGGGUCAGGAGGGUAACUACCUGAAACAGGAUCAUCGGUUCAAUAUUAGAAAGGCCUAAAAACUAUCUCAAAUGGUCUUGUUAGACAGGACAGGAGUGAGAUACUGAUUAGUUGGACAGGACUAUAAACAAACCACUAUGCAUACACUCUCUAUAUAGAUAGACUGAAAGAGACAAACAGAUUAGAUACAGGCAGAUCUAUAGUUAAAGAUUAGACAAACUAUAUAGAUUAUAGUCAGAACUAGACAACUGUAGACAUAGAGCUAGGCCAACAGAUCAAGAUCAGAGAUAGACAGAUUAGAUACAGAAUGAGAGAGAGGGAAUCAGGCAGACAUUUGAUACAUACAAGCUAUAUAGAUGGAUUUGAUAAACAUAGAGGUGCAAAGUUUGUUGGACAAAGAAUGAUAGUCCCCCUGAACGAUCGCCACAUACAGCUUUGUGGAUGUAGAUUGUUAGAGCUAUAUAUCGUAUCAUGUGUUCUGUGUUUGUGGUAAAGCUUGGUCUUUUCUAUCUCUGCAGCACCUGCGCUCCGUUUAAAGAUGGAAACGUUACGUAAAUAUUCAUCAAUAGGGCAGCUGGCUUACAUUGAGGCCAGGGAAGUCCGUAUACAGAAGACUGAAGUUCGGCACAUCCUUAAUCAGCAAACCUCGCACCAUGCAUUUAUUAGAGUGUGGGAGAUUCAAAUAUCCACCUUCAAGAUAUUGCAUUGAACGGUUUAAUAGUGAUCCUGAUUAAUUGGCUCAGAAAAACAUACAGGAACAGUAGCAUUAGUAAACACAAAAGACCAAUAAAGUGUUGUGGUGUUUUUUUUUUUUUUUUACAUCAAUGGACUACUCUGUGUCAUGGCUGCUAUUAUCCCUGGCAAGCAUUGGCGAGGAUCUAUAGUUAUCUUGAAAAUAAUCCAUCAUUAUAGCAGAUAAUUAAUACUAUUGUUCUAUAUCAUGAUAAAAGGAAAAACAGUUCCCACAAACAUAUAUACGGUUUUGAACACAAAAGGUAAAAUAUUAUAAAUUCUUGUCAUAUGAUGGAGAAUUAAAAAAAUUGGGGUUUAUGCCUGUUAACUGUACUUCCCUGUGUUUCUUAUUUAUUAUUCCAAAUCUAAGUUUAUAGUAACAAGCCAAAAGAAAUAAAAAAAAAAACAAUACAAAAGAAUAUAGGUUUCGGGAAUUCUGUUCUCCCGAAGGCAGGAAGGGGGGGUGCAUUGUUCUCUCUGUGCUAUAACUUGCAAAGUUGUUGUGGUGUUAGAGAGAUCAUUCAACCAUUUAAAGCCUAAUAAUGUUCCAAGCAUAUGGUAAUAUGAAAGGAUUUUUCUAACCUGUGGUCUUUAUAAGAUUAAAGAGAACACUAUAUAAUUAUUUGCUCAGGAUAUCCUCAGCACCACCAUUAGAACAGUUUAAGAUCGAUAUCAGCCACCCCCUCGACCCUUGAAAAGCUAAAUGUAAAAUAUGAGAGAUAUCCUGAGUAUUUAUAUGAUACAGGUUAUCCCCACGAUGCUGCAAAAUCCUGACCUUUCCAGAUUAGAUCCCCUAUUUUUAUGCAUUUGAGAAAAGGAUUUAGACUUUUUUUUUCUGUUCUGCUUACAUUUUGGUAAAAGGCAUUCUACGACGCAAAGAGAUACUUGACAUUUUAUCUCUAACAGAUUGGCAAUCAUCAAACAGCAAUAUUGCAUGGAAAUCUUUGGUGACUGAAAUAAAGAAUUGUUAAAACAUAAA
rnacentral:lncRNA from 1 species